AAAACUUUUGAAAUUUUUAGGUCGGCAAAAGUGCAAUUGAUGUUUUUGUGUUUGAAGGUAAAAAUCACACCCUGUUUGUAGAAUACCUCAUUUAGGAUAUAAUGGAAUAUUGGAAUAAGAAACUUCUUGCAGAUGCUCGGACUGGAAAUGUAAACGAUGUGAAAAUAUGCCUAGAGAAUAAAGCAGACAUUGAUUAUCAAGAU